rnacentral:lncRNA from 1 species
AUGGGGCGUCCUUACUCCCAGUCUUUCCAGAUGUUCUUCCCACUCCUCAACUGCUCCUGGCUCAGAAACCCUGCACACCUGGAAGAAAGUGAGAACCAGUUUUUCAACAAACACAUUGCACAGACUUAUUGUGAACCCCGGGUGGAAUCAAGCAUCGGAGGAAGAGAACGUGGGUCUUGCUGUGUCCCUAGGCUGGAGUGCAGUGGUGCAGUCUCAAUUAUGCCAGAUGGCUCUGAGGUCCAAGUAAAAGAUAAUAUUUGCAACCAACUCACUGGAGUUGACCAUCAAAACUCUUUUCCAGGUGGAAAAGCACCCUGAAUCCAGCUUCCUGCUAUGAAUGAAUACUGAGCUUGGGUUGGUGGAAAUUGAUUUUCGAGAUAAAGAAUCCAGCCAGGACUGUGAAGCCCCAGGGAAUGGCUGCACUUCAAGUCAGAAGGAGCCUGGGUCCCUGAAUCAUCAUGUGGAAGGCUCUCCACCCAGUUCAAUGGUGCAAUGGACCACAAGCAGGAACUUAAUUUAGAAUGUGCUUAUUUUGUUAGAUUUUGUAAUUAAAAAAUGGAUCCCACUCUGACUGAA